UACCGCAUUGUUCAGAGAUUGGAAAACUCAACACUACAUAAUUAACGAGCAAGGUAGAUUUUUAAUGGCGGGCUGCACCUUCGGGUAUUCCAUAGUGAACGGCAGAUUACAACGAAAGUUUACCCCUCAAAUCCUGAUUAACAGGAGUUUUCUCAACAUAAACAAUGCGGUUUUUCUU
rnacentral:sRNA from 1 species